rnacentral:lncRNA from 1 species
AUUAGUCAUAUGAUAGAUUCAAUCAACUCAAGUCCAAUUGUGAUCUUUAUGAAAACUCUUUUCCAUCAAUCACCCUGUUGUGGCCAAAGACUCUUGGACUUAAUCUCUCAAAUUCUAUAGGACUACUUCUUUCUAUCAAGAUCAAUAGAUUUCAGCUUGAUAUGCACCCUACUCCUAGAGUGAACCAACUGUCGCCAACAUCUCCUACAAGGGCUCAUUGACAUCAUGUUUAUGUGUCAGUCAAACAUCAGCAGCCUCACUGCGAGCAGUCAUACCAUCGCA